UUUAUUUUAUUUUUUGAGACAAGAUCUGGCUCUAUCACCCAGACUGGAGUCCAAUGGCGCGAUCUCAGCUCACUGCAACCUCGACCUCCCGGGCUCAAGCCAUCCUCCCACCUCAGCCUUCUGAACAGCUGGGACUACAGAUAUCUCGUAGACUACGCUGCUGUUCACACAGCUCAGAACUCCAAGUGAUUUUGGUGACAAUCGAAAUGUGAUUUUGUUAACAUCCUAUGGCCAUGUCAUGUGAGCAUUCAUAAUGUGAUGGCACAUUAAAGCACCAGGAGCAGUGCAUUUAUUCUGCACUUUAGAUGUCAUAAAGAGGCUCUGCAGAAGACCAGACAGCCAUUAUGAUAUUAUAUGCUUAUAAUUCAGCAGAUUGAUUUCUGCAAAAUAUCAGAGAUCAUGCCGAAGAAAUGAAAAGCACCAUUAAAAAGCAAUUAUGUACCAA